UCCUGUUUGUCCGUGACACAGCAGCUCCACGCCCCAGCAGCAGCUCGCAGACCUCCAGCUUCCCUCUUCCUGCGGCAGCAGUCAGGGCUAAAGGAAAGUCACAUAGAGGGGAAUCUGUUAGCAUGUGGUGGAGCACAGAUGGCCAGAAAUUCUUUGACAGUUCUCUCCGCCAGUGGGAGGUAGGGUCUAUAUGUCCUCCCCCUUUGAACCUGCGGGGGCUCUGUGACAGCUUUGACCAACAGAACACAGCAGAACCAAUUCUGUGUGAGUGUCAAGGCCCAGGUCCUAGGAGAUGGGCUGCUUGUACAUCCUUGAACACUCUUUCCUGGAGGCAGGAUGCCAUGCUGAGAGGAAGCCCAAGCAGUCCUGUGGUGAGACCCACAGAGAGAAGAACUGAGGCCUGGGCAUGGCUGCCAGUUCCAGAUGGGCUCCCAGGAGACAGCCAGCACCAGCCGGCCAGCCACAUGCAUGUGCCAUCUGGAAAGGGAUCCAUCAGCCUGGGUCAAGCUGCCCCAGCUAAAGCCAUGUGAGCAGAGGUGAGUCAUCCCCACCAUGCCCGGCCCAAACUGUAGAUUCAGAGGUGGCUAAGUUUUGUUUCUGUUUUUCACAGGAAGAGAUAACCAGAAUACAGUGCAACGCAAACACAGAUAGAUAAUUUCUUAGAACUACAGGAAGAGCCGUUCUUAACAACAAUUGCCAUCUGCAUCACUGAUCUGGAUGACGAAGUGGAUUCUUUCAAGACAGCGCAACCAGAACAAAAUAUUGAAGGGCACGGAUGCUACAGCUGAUCUGGACUGCAGAUACAACACAAGAUAACAAGAUACACCUGCUAUUCAACUUCUGUUUGUGUAAAUCUGUCUUUCAUUGCUGUAGUCUGUCCCAAGAACUGUGAAGGGUAAAGAUAAAGUGAUUUCUUCCUCUCCUACAAUAUACAUUAUCUGGAUUGAUCUGAUCAUGUGAUUCUUACGCUGGAAGAGCUGGGUAUUGAACCACUACCUGGAUCUGCUGCUGCUCAGCCAUUUUCCUCCAGGCAAAGAACAACUCCCUCUUCCUCUUCUCCCCGGUUAACCAGAAGAAGGAAUGAAUCAAAACAAAGACACAUUGGCUCCAUGCAGAGGCAGGGCCCAGGUAAAUGCAUGAUGCCAUGCAAAGGAAUAAACACAGGACUCUUCCAUUUGAUGAGAUCUGAAGCAGCCCAUCCACCACAGCAUUCUGCUCUUUUAUUUAGUAAACAAGUUUCAUCUUCAUUACAAAUGGGGCCUUUAAAUCAGGAUUUCUGUUGCAGCUGCUGCUGAAUUUUUGCAACAGCAGCACAUCAGAAAUGAUAGUCCAGCACUAAAAAUAGGGACCUCUGUUUCACAGAGGCGUCAGAGAAGCCACAAGUUGGAGCAACUGACAAGGGGCGAGUGUGCCACCCUGGGCAUGGCAACGGGGUUGGACCCUGUCCUCCUCCU